rnacentral:rRNA from 1 species
CCCUUAGAUGUUCUGGGCCGCACGCGUGCUACACUGAGUGGAUCAGCGGGUCAGGUUGCGCGAAAGUGUUUCCUAAUCUUGAAAUCCGCUCGUGAUGGGGAUUGACGGUUGCAAUUUUCCGUCAUGAACGAGGAAUACCUUGUAAGCGCGGGUCAUCAUCCCGCGCUGAUUACGUCCCUGCCCUUUGUACACACCGCCCGUCGCUACUACCGAUUGAAUGGUUUAGUGAGGACUCCUGAUUGGCGCCGCCGCCCCGGCAACGGAGCAGCGGACUGCCGAAAAGUUGUUCAAACUUGAUCAUUUAGAGGAAGUAAAAGUCGUAACA